GUUCCACCUGUUAACUGUAUGCAUGUUUACAUGGGUAUCAUCAGUUAACUGUAUGCAUGUUUACAUGAGCUCAAUCUUUUAACUAUACAUGUUAACAGGAGUGUCAUCAGUUAACU